rnacentral:rRNA from 1 species
ACUCCUACGGGAGGCAGCAGUGGGGAAUAUUGGACAAUGGGCGAAAGCCUGAUCCAGCCAUGCCGCGUGUGUGAAGAAGGUCUUCGGAUUGUAAAGCACUUUAAGUUGGGAGGAAGGGCAGUAAGUUAAUACCUUGCUGUUUUGACGUUACCAACAGAAUAAGCACCGGCUAACUUCGUGCCAGCAGCCGCGGUAAUACGAAGGGGUGCAAGCGUUAAUCGGAAUUACUGGGCGUAAAGCGCGCGUAGGUGGUUCAGCAAGUUGGAUGUGAAAUCCCCGGGGCUCAACCUGGGGAACUGCAUCCAAAACUACUGAGCUAGAGUACGGUAGAGGGUGGUGGAAUUUCCUGUGUAGCGGUGAAAUGCGUAGAUAUAGGAAGGAACACCAGUGGCGAAGGCGACCACCUGGACUGAUACCGACACUGAGGUGCGAAAGCGUGGGGAGCAAACA